UCAGAUGUGAUAGAUGAGGGAGACAUACAAAAUGUAUAGGGCUGGGGGUACUCAGGACAUAUUUGAGAACCACUGCUACAGAGGAUAAGUGGUUUGGAGAAUGGAUGAAUGGUUGUGAUUGCUUUCUUAGGGGACUGACAGUACACACGACUGCAUGGAGUUAGGGGCUGCCAUUUUUACAACUGGCCAAAGGUUUGUUGUUAAAGAUAUCUGUAAGUACCUCUGUAUUAUUACUUGGAAUUAAAGUUUGGCAAAACUG